GUCACCACAAUUAAACAUGGAGGUCUACAUGUAUAAAUCUAACAUGUUACAUGUAGACCUCCAUGUCUUAAACAUAUUUUAGACACUGGUUAAGCUGUUCAAUAAAUAAAUUAAUAUCAAUCUAUAUUCAAAAGCUUGAAAAAUAUAUACAUUACGUUGGAUAAUUUUUUAUGUAAUACGUACUUGCAUAAGCAGCUGCAGUGAGAACGAUAUAGUGACGUGGCUAUUGAUAAAGUAUGGACAAAAUUUAUGCUUAAAAAUCAAAAGUUGAAUUAUAAAGAAAAAUGGAUCAGCUGUUGAUUCCACGAUAACGCCAAUGAUUUGGAAUUGUUUAAUAAGUUCAGCAACAAUGGGUAUUGAUGGUGGAUUGUUGAUGACAAUUCACGAUCGUAAAAAUAAACAGGCACAUUUUUUAAAUGCCAAAGAUAAAGCACCACUUGAGAAAAAUAUGUUCAAAGUUACUGGAAAAGAAUCAUCUAAAUGUGGAUCACUUGCUAUUGGAGUACCAGGUGAAAUUGCUGGCUAUUGAGAAGCUCAUCAAACAUUCGAUAAACUUGCUUGGUUUUAUUUAUCUGAGCCUAAAAAAAAUAAUUACUCUACCUAUUUUUUUUAAAACAAUAAAAAUCAUUGCUGACAAAGGUGCUAAUGAAUUUUACAAUGGUAGACUUGGUGAAAUGUUGAUUGAAAAUUUUAACAGUUUGGGAAUUACAAUGACUAUUGAAGAUUUAAAAAAUUAUCGCGUUGAAUAAACAAAUCCAGUUGUUACUAAUUCUUUAAAUAGAAAAAAAUUAUUUAUAUCAAAUUUACCUGGUAAUGGUGAACUAUUAGUCUUAACGUCAAGAGACCAAGA